UACGAAGGGAGCUAGCGUUGUUCGGAAUCACUGGGCGUAAAGGGCGCGUAGGCGGCCUUCUAAGUCGAACGUGAAAUCCCCGGGCUCAACCCGGGAACUGCGUCCGAUACUGGAAGGCUUGAAUCCGGGAGAGGGAUGCGGAAUUCCAGGUGUAGCGGUGAAAUGCGUAGAUAUCUGGAGGAACACCGGUGGCGAAGGCGGCAUCCUGGACCGGUAUUGACGCUGAGGCGCGAAAGCCAGGGGAGCAAACGGG
rnacentral:rRNA from 1 species